CACGUAGGGUGCGAGCGUUGUCCGGAAUUAUUGGGCGUAAAGAGCUCGUAGGCGGUGUGUCGCGUCGGCCGUGAAAACCUGCAGCUUAACUGUGGGCUUGCGGUCGAUACGGGCAUCACUGGAGUUCGGCAGGGGAGACUGGAAUUCCUGGUGUAGCGGUGAAAUGCGCAGAUAUCAGGAGGAACACCAGUGGCGAAGGCGGCGAUCUGGGAAGAUACUGACGCUGAGGUGCGAAAGCGUGGGGAGCAAACAGG
rnacentral:rRNA from 1 species